UGGGUUAACCGGUUAACGCAGACCAAACAACAAUUCCUGCGCUAACACACGGCAGAAUGCAGAAUUCCGCCGUUGGAGGACUUCCGGACCUCCGAUUCCGAUUCCGUAAACAGCUAUACGAUCGGGAAAACAUUACUCACACAAAUACCGAUUUAAUUUCAACUUUCAACACAGUUCAUCCAACAACAUUUCAACAUUUACAAAUUCCAAUUAGGGUCAAAUUAACGGCUUAUCACUACCCAUGAC
rnacentral:lncRNA from 1 species